rnacentral:rRNA from 1 species
UGAACGCUAGCUACAGGCUUAACACAUGCAAGUCGAGGGGCAGCAUGGUCUUAGCUUGCUAAGGCCGAUGGCGACCGGCGCACGGGUGAGUAACACGUAUCCAACCUGCCGUCUACUCUUGGACAGCCUUCUGAAAGGAAGAUUAAUACAAGAUGGCAUCAUGAGUCCACAUGUUCACAUGAUUAAAGGUAUUCCGGUAGACGAUGGGGAUGCGUUCCAUUAGAUAGUAGGCGGGGUAACGGCCCACCUAGUCUUCGAUGGAUAGGGGUUCUGAGAGGAAGGUCCCCCACAUUGGAACUGAGACACGGUCCAAACUCCUACGGGAGGCAGCAGUGAGGAAUAUUGGUCAAUGGGCGAGAGCCUGAACCAGCCAAGUAGCGUGAAGGAUGACUGCCCUAUGGGUUGUAAACUUCUUUUAUAGAGGAAUAAAGUCGGGUAUGGAUACCCGUUUGCAUGUACUUUAUGAAUAAGGAUCGGCUAACUCCGUGCCAGCAGCCGCGGUAAUACGGAGGAUCCGAGCGUUAUCCGGAUUUAUUGGGUUUAAAGGGAGCGUAGAUGGAUGUUUAAGUCAGUUGUGAAAGUUUGCGGCUCAACCGUAAAAUUGCAGUUGAUACUGGAUAUCUUGAGUGCAGUUGAGGCAGGCGGAAUUCGUGGUGUAGCGGUGAAAUGCUUAGAUAUCACGAAGAACUCCGAUUGCGAAGGCAGCCUGCUAAGCUGCAACUGACAUUGAGGCUCGAAAGUGUGGGUAUCAAACAGGAUUAGAUACCCUGGUAGUCCACACGGUAAACGAUGAAUACUCGCUGUUUGCGAUAUACAGCAAGCGGCCAAGCGAAAGCGUUAAGUAUUCCACCUGGGGAGUACGCCGGCAACGGUGAAACUCAAAGGAAUUGACGGGGGCCCGCACAAGCGGAGGAACAUGUGGUUUAAUUCGAUGAUACGCGAGGAACCUUACCCGGGCUUAAAUUGCAGAUGAAUUACGGUGAAAGCCGUAAGCCGCAAGGCAUCUGUGAAGGUGCUGCAUGGUUGUCGUCAGCUCGUGCCGUGAGGUGUCGGCUUAAGUGCCAUAACGAGCGCAACCCUUGUUGUCAGUUACUAACAGGUUCCGCUGAGGACUCUGACAAGACUGCCAUCGUAAGAUGUGAGGAAGGUGGGGAUGACGUCAAAUCAGCACGGCCCUUACGUCCGGGGCUACACACGUGUUACAAUGGGGGGUACAGAGGGCCGCUACCACGCGAGUGGAUGCCAAUCCCAAAAACCUCUCUCAGUUCGGACUGGAGUCUGCAACCCGACUCCACGAAGCUGGAUUCGCUAGUAAUCGCGCAUCAGCCACGGCGCGGUGAAUACGUUCCCGGGCCUUGUACACACCGCCCGUCAAGCCAUGGGAGCCGGGGGUACCUGAAGUGCGUAACCGCGAGGAGCGCCCUAGGGUAAAACUGA